rnacentral:misc_RNA from 1 species
CAACCCUCAAGCCUAGCUUGGUGUUGGGGAUGUUUUACCUGGUAAAACGCCCCGAAAAAUAUUGGCGGUGCUCGUCGGUACUCCAUGCGCAGUAAUUUUCAAUUUCGUAUGGGUGCCUGCGGUGCUAUGCUUGCCACUACAAACUAUUUUUAAU